GAUGAACGCUGGCGGCGUGCCUAAUACAUGCAAGUCGAGCGAACAGACGAGGAGCUUGCUCCUCUGACGUUAGCGGCGGACGGGUGAGUAACACGUGGAUAACCUACCUAUAAGACUGGGAUAACUUCGGGAAACCGGAGCUAAGACCGGAUAAUAUAUUGAACCGCAUGGUUCAAUAGUGAAAGACGGUUUUGCUGUCACUGAUAGAUGGAUCCGCGCCGCAUUAGCUAGUUGGUAAGGUAACGGCUUCCCAAGGCAACGAUGCGUAGCCGACCUGAGAGGGUGAUCGGCCACACUGGAACUGAGACACGGUCCAGACUCCUACGGGAGGCACCAGUAGGGAAUCUUCCGCAAUGGGCGAAAGCCUGACGGAGCAACGCCGCGUGAGUGAUGAAGGUCUUCGGAUCGUAAAACUCUGUUAUUAGGGAAGAACAAAUGUGUAAGUAACUAUGCACGUCUUGACGGUACCUAAUCAGAAAGCCACGGCUAACUACGUG
rnacentral:rRNA from 1 species